UGAGGAUAAUUUCACUGUAAAAUCAGUCACCUCUUUGAUUGCCAGGGAUGUCUUGGCUGGUUUGACUGGAGAGGCAGGUUUCAUUUUGCUGUCUCA
rnacentral:snRNA from 1 species